rnacentral:rRNA from 1 species
GUUUGAUUAUGGCUCAGGAUGAACGCUGGCGGCGUGCCUAAUACAUGCAAGUCGAACGAAACUUCUUUAUCACCGAGUGCUUGCACUCACCGAUAAAGAGUUGAGUGGCGAACGGGUGAGUAACACGUGGGCAACCUGCCCAAAAGAGGGGGAUAACACUUGGAAACAGGUGCUAAUACCGCAUAACCAUAGUUACCGCAUGGUAACUAUGUAAAAGGUGGCUAUGCUACCGCUUUUGGAUGGGCCCGCGGCGCAUUAGCUAGUUGGUGGGGUAAAGGCUUACCAAGGCAAUGAUGCGUAGCCGAACUGAGAGGUUGAUCGGCCACAUUGGGACUGAGACACGGCCCAAACUCCUACGGGAGGCAGCAGUAGGGAAUCUUCCACAAUGGGCGAAAGCCUGAUGGAGCAACGCCGCGUGGGUGAAGAAGGUCUUCGGAUCGUAAAACCCUGUUGUUAGAGAAGAAAGUGGGUGAGAGUAACUGUUCACGUUUCGACGGUAUCUAACCAGAAAGCCACGGCUAACUACGUGCCAGCAGCCGCGGUAAUACGUAGGUGGCAAGCGUUAUCCGGAUUUAUUGGGCGUAAAGGGAACGCAGGCGGUCUUUUAAGUCUGAUGUGAAAGCCUUCGGCUUAACCGGAGUAGUGCAUUGGAAACUGGGAGACUUGAGUGCAGAAGAGGAGAGUGGAACUCCAUGUGUAGCGGUGAAAUGCGUAGAUAUAUGGAAGAGCACCAGUGGCGAAAGCGGCUCUCUGGUCUGUAACUGACGCUGAGGUUCGAAAGCGUGGGUAGCAAACAGGAUUAGAUACCCUGGUAGUCCACGCCGUAAACGAUGAAUGCUAAGUGUUGGAGGGUUUCCGCCCUUCAGUGCUGCAGCUAACGCAAUAAGCAUUCCGCCUGGGGAGUACGACCGCAAGGUUGAAACUCAAAGGAAUUGACGGGGGCCCGCACAAGCGGUGGAGCAUGUGGUUUAAUUCGAAGCAACGCGAAGAACCUUACCAGGUCUUGACAUCUUUUGACAAUCCUAGAGAUAGGACUUUCCCUUCGGGGACAAAAUGACAGGUGGUGCAUGGUUGUCGUCAGCUCGUGUCGUGAGAUGUUGGGUUAAGUCCCGCAACGAGCGCAACCCUUAUUGUUAGUUGCCAGCAUUAAGUUGGGCACUCUAGCAAGACUGCCGGUGACAAACCGGAGGAAGGUGGGGAUGACGUCAAAUCAUCAUGCCCCUUAUGACCUGGGCUACACACGUGCUACAAUGGACGGUACAACGAGUCGCAAGACCGCGAGGUUUAGCAAAUCUCUUAAAGCCGUUCUCAGUUCGGAUUGUAGGCCGCAACUCGCCUACAUGAAGUCGGAAUCGCUAGUAAUCGCGGAUCAGCAUGCCGCGGUGAAUACGUUCCCGGGCCUUGUACACACCGCCCGUCACACCAUGAGAGUUUGUAACACCCAAAGCCGGUGGGGUAACCUUUUGGAGCCAGCCGUCUAAGGUGGGACAGAUGAUUGGGGUGAAGUCGUAACAAGGUAUCC